rnacentral:rRNA from 1 species
GAUGAACGCCGGCGGUGUGCCUAAUACAUGCAAGUCGUACGCACUGGCCCAACUGAUUGAUGGUGCUUGCACCUGAUUGACGAUGGAUUACCAGUGAGUGGCGGACGGGUGAGUAACACGUAGGUAACCUGCCCCGGAGCGGGGGAUAACAUUUGGAAACAGAUGCUAAUACCGCAUAACAACAAAAACCACAUGGCUUUUGUUUGAAAGAUGGCUUUGGCUAUCACUCUGGGAUGGACCUGCGGUGCAGUAGCUAGUUGGUAAGGUAACGGCUUACCAAGGCGAUGAUGCAUAGCCGAGUUGAGAGACUGAUCGGCCACAAUGGAACUGAGACACGGUCCAU